GAUGAACGCUGGCGGCGUGCCUAAUACAUGCAAGUCGAGCGAACUGAUUAGAAGCUUGCUUCUAUGACGUUAGCGGCGGACGGGUGAGUAACACGUGGGCAACCUGCCUGUAAGACUGGGAUAACUCCGGGAAACCGAAGCUAAUACCGGAUAGGAUCUUCUCCUUCAUGGGAGAUGAUUGAAAGAUGGUUUCGGCUAUCACUUACAGAUGGGCCCGCGGUGCAUUAGCUAGUUGGUGAGGUAACGGCUCACCAAGGCAACGAUGCAUAGCCGACCUGAGAGGGUGAUCGGCCACACUGGGACUGAGACACGGCCCAGACUCCUACGGGAGGCAGCAGUAGGGAAUCUUCCGCAAUGGACGAAAGUCUGACGGAGCCACGCCGCGUGAGUGAUGAAGGCUUUCGGGUCGUAAAACUCUGUUGUUAGGGAAGAACAAGUACGAGAGUAACUGCUCGUACCUUGACGGUACCUAACCAGAAAGCCACGGCUAACUACGUGCCAGCAGCCGCAGUAACAC
rnacentral:rRNA from 1 species